UGGCUCAGUGGUAGAGUGCUUGCCUUGUAUGCAUGAGGCCUUGGGUUCAAUUCCUCA
rnacentral:tRNA from 1 species